rnacentral:rRNA from 1 species
CACAUUGGGACUGAGACACGGCCCAAACUCCUACGGGAGGCAGCAGUGGGGAAUAUUGGACAAUGGGCGCAAGCCUGAUCCAGCCAUGCCGCGUGAGUGAUGACGGCCUUAGGGUUGUAAAGCUCUUUCGCUCGGGACGAUAAUGACGGUACCGAGAUAAGAAGCCCCGGCUAACUUCGUGCCAGCAGCCGCGGUAAUACGAAGGGGGCUAGCGUUGUUCGGAAUUACUGGGCGUAAAGCGCGUGUAGGCGGGUCUUUAAGUCAGGGGUGAAAUGCCAAGGCUCAACCCUGGAACUGCCUUUGAUACUGGAGAUCUUGAGUCCGGGAGAGGUGAGUGGAAUUGCGAGUGUAGAGGUGAAAUUCGUAGAUAUUCGCAAGAACACCAGUGGCGAAGGCGGCUCACUGGCCCGGAACUGACGCUGAGACGCGAAAGCGUGGGGAGCAAACAGGAUUAGAUACCCUGGUAGUCCACGCUGUAAACGAUGGAUGCUAGCCGUUGGGGAGCUUGCUCUUUAGUGGCGCAGCUAACGCUUUAAGCAUCCCGCCUGGGGAGUACGGUCGCAAGAUUAAAACUCAAAGGAAUGACGAAGGCG